rnacentral:lncRNA from 1 species
AAUCAAUUAAUGGAAGCAAUACAUAUGUAGAUGAAGAAGUGAUUGGUUAGGGAUUAGGUGAAGAAAAAAUUUGGGUAAAAUCUGGGGAAAAAGGGGUGAGGAAGAGGAUGAUGGUCGGGUCACGCUUUUUAAUUGGUUUAACUGAAUUAGGUGUCGGUUCUAUUUACGAGUUUUUUUUGUUUGGUUUUGUGAUUAAACCGAAAAUUGUCUUAACCAAUAUCAAAUUGAGUUUCAUGGAGAAAUAUGUUUAGAACUUUUAUGUCGAGGACAUCUAGAAUGAGGUCAUAGUUUGGGAGACAUAUGGUACUAUACGAUACUUCUCAUGGGGAAAUAGCUCGUCUUCCCUUCUUUUAUUUAUAAUUUUUUUUUCUGAAUUGCAUGUCCUUAAGUAGCAUAAAAUAUGGUAUAUGAAGAAAAAUUGUUUCCAAACUAUUUUUCUCAUGGAGUUCAACGUGUGCCACUCCCAGAUUUGCUAGCCCAGUUGAGCCAGUGACUGGUCCAUAUGUUUUGUUGUCGUUAGUUACGAGCACUGUCAUUCAAUGUAUCAAUACAU